rnacentral:rRNA from 1 species
AACCACAACCAUAUCACGCUGCAGCCCAAGACCGGUUACUUACUGAAGCUAGGCAGGGUUGAGCCUGGUCAGUAACUGGAUGGGAGACAGCAUGGGAAACUAGGUAGCUGCUGAAA